UGGGGAAUAUUGCACAAUGGGGGAAACCCUGAUGCAGCAACGCCGCGUGAGCGAUGAAGGCCUUCGGGUCGUAAAGCUCUGUCCUAAGGGAAGAUAAUGACGGUACCUUAGGAGGAAGCCCCGGCUAACUACGUGCCAGCAGCCGCGGUAAUACGUAGGGGGCAAGCGUUAUCCGGAAUCAUUGGGCGUAAAGGGUGCGUAGGCUGCCCUAUAGGUCAGAGGUCAAAGGCUACGGCUCAACCGUAGUAAGCCUUUGAAACUGUAGGGCUUGAGUGCAGGAGAGGAGAGUGGAAUUCCUAGUGUAGCGGUGAAAUGCGUAGAUAUUAGGAGGAACACCAGUGGCGAAGGCGACUCUCUGGACUGCAACUGACGCUGAGGCACGAAAGCGUGGGUAGCGAACAG
rnacentral:rRNA from 1 species